UACAGAGGGGGCAAGCGUUGUUCGGAAUUACUGGGCGUAAAGGGCGCGUAGGCGGCCUUCUAAGUCGAACGUGAAAUCCCUGGGCUCAACCCAGGAACUGCGUCCGAUACUGAAAGGCUUGAAUCCGGGAGAGGGAUGUGGAAUUCCAGGUGUAGCGGUGAAAUGCGUAGAUAUCUGGAGGAACACCGGUGGCGAAGGCGACAUCCUGGACCGGCAUUGACGCUGAGGCGCGAAAGCCAGGGGAGCAAACGGG
rnacentral:rRNA from 1 species